rnacentral:rRNA from 1 species
CCUACGGGUGGCAGCAGUGAGGAAUAUUGGUCAAUGGACGAGAGUCUGAACCAGCCAAGCCGCGUGAAGGAUGACUGCUCUAUGGGUUGUAAACUUCUUUUAUAUGGGGAUAAAUUGUUCUACGUGUGGGAUUUUGUAUGUAUCAUACGAAUAAGGAUCGGCUAACUCCGUGCCAGCAGCCGCGGUAAUACGGAGGAUCCGAGCGUUAUCCGGAUUUAUUGGGUUUAAAGGGAGCGUAGGUGGUUUGGUAAGUCAGUGGUGAAAGUUCGCGGCUCAACCGUAGAAGUGCAGUUGAUACUGGCAGUCUUGAGUACAGUAGAGGUAAGCGGAAUUCGUGGUGUAGCGGUGAAAUGCGUAGAUAUCACGAAGAACACCGAUUGCGAAGGCAGCUCACUGGACUACAACUGACGCUGAGGCUCGAAAGUGUGGGUAUCAAACAGGAUUAGAUACCCUAGUAGUC